UCAAAACAAAAACAGGAAACAGAGAAAAACAGAAAAACAAGACUACCACAAUAAGACAGAACACAGAACAAAAUACCACAACCAUGCCACUUCAUCAGUUUCCUACAGUUUUAGAGCCCAAACUGUGACAAGUAGAGCAUAUUUUGUGAAGCUGUUUAAUUUAUUUAUCACUUUUAAUAUAAACAUAUUUGUGUACGGGGGGGGGCAGUAACCGAGGAGGCAGAAUAACAAUAAAGAGGGUAGUUCUGUUCUUGAUUUUCUUUCUGAAAAUCAAACUUUCCCUCAUUGUGUGAAACUCUCUGCAGGGGGGGGGAGGAGGUGCGUCUUCCAACAACGGGACACCAGAAGCCGAAGAACAGAUCCCGCUCCAACCAACAGGAAACCAGAACACCAGACUGAACCAAAGGGAAGGAACGCGACAGACCCUCG